rnacentral:rRNA from 1 species
AACGAACGCUGGCGGCAGGCUUAACACAUGCAAGUUGAACGGGAUUUGUAUGGUGCUUGCACUAUGCAAAGAGAGUAGCGCACUGGUGAGUAACACGUGGGAACAUGCCCUGAAGUGUGGAAUAACAGAGGGAAACUUCUGCUAAUACCGCAUACGCCCUGAGGGGGAAAGAUUUAUCGCUUUAGGAUUGGCCCGCGGAAGAUUAGGUAGUUGGUGGGGUAAAGGCCUACCAAGCCGACGAUCUAUAGCUGGUCUGAGAGGACGAUCAGCCACAUUGGAACUGAGACACGGUUCAG